rnacentral:rRNA from 1 species
CCUACGUGAGGCAGCAGUGGGGAAUAUUGCGCAAUGGGGGAAACCCUGACGCAGCCACGCAGCGUGAGUGAAGAAGUAUCUCGGUAUGUAAAGCUCUAUCAGCGGGGAAGAAGGAAGACGGUACCCGACUAAGAAGCCCCGGCUAACUACGUGCAAGCAGCCGCGGUAAUACGUAGGGGGCGAGCGUUCUCCGGAUUUACUGGGUGUAAAGGGAGCGUAGACGGCGUCGCAAGUCUGAAGUGAAAGCCCGCGGCUCAACCGCGGAACCGCUUUGGAACCUGCGAGGCUGGAGUGCUGGAGAGGUAAGCGGAAUUCCUGGUGUAGCGGUGAAAUGCGUAGAUAUCAGGAAGAACACCGAGGGCGAAGGCGGCUUACUGGACAGUGACUGACGUUGAGGCUCGAAAGCGUGGGGAUCGAACAGGAUUAGAUACCCCUGUAGUC